UUUUGUCAUUUUAAGUUUAAUCCUCUGUUUGCAUAUUUUAUGUGACUUUGGGGAUAGAUUAAUUUUUGAUUGUGGGUCAUAAUUGCGGCUUAAUAAUUUUGUUGAUUUGUUUAUUUUGUUUGGUUUAAUGAAAUAAGUGUUUGGGCUAAGAGGUUAUUUUGUGUUUGGGUUUAAAAAAGUUGUUUUGGUUUAUUUUGUUUGUUUUUUCUGGUUUGGGCUAGAGAGCCAAAGCCCAUCUAUUUGGUUGGCUAAUUUUGGGCCAAAAUAAUAUGCUAGCCCAUUUCAGUACUUUGGACUUCCGAUCGGGCCAAUUUGUUUUGGCCCAAGAAAUUAAUAAAAUGGCCCCAUGGCCUAGUCCAUUAAGAAACCAGAGAACGCAUUUGCAGAUCAGUCCCUGUACU
rnacentral:lncRNA from 1 species